rnacentral:tRNA from 1 species
GCCUUCGUAGUGUAAUGGUCAGCAUGCUCGACGCGUAACCGAGAGAUCCGUGGUUCGAUUCCCGGCGAAGGCG